rnacentral:misc_RNA from 1 species
AGUCGUAACAAGGUCUCCGUUGGUGAACCAGCGGAGGGAUCAUUACCGAGUUAUUCAACUCAUCAACCCUGUGAACUUACCUAAACGUUGCUUCGGCGGGAAUAGACGGCCCUGUAAAACGGGCCGCCCCCGCCAGAGGACCCUUAACUCUGUUUCUUAUAAUGUUUCUUCUGAGUAAAACAAGCAAAUAAAUUAAAACUUUCAACAACGGAUCUCUUGGCUCUGGCAUCGAUGAAGAACGCAGCGAAAUGCGAUAAGUAAUGUGAAUUGCAGAAUUCAGUGAAUCAUCGAAUCUUUGAACGCACAUUGCGCCCGCCAGUAUUCUGGCGGGCAUGCCUGUUCGAGCGUCAUUACAACCCUCAGGCCCCCGGGCCUGGCGUUGGGGAUCGGCGGAGCGCCCCUCGUGGGCGCACGCCGUCCCCCAAAUACAGUGGCGGUCCCGCCGCAGCUUCCAUCGCGUAGUAGCUAACACCUCGCGACUGGAGAGCGGCGCGGCCACGCCGUAAAACACCCCAACUCUUCUGAAGUUGACCUCGAAUCAGGUAGGAAUACCCGCUGAACUUAAGCAUAUCAAUAA